GCGCGAAUAGCUCAGCUGGUAGAGCACUCGACUGAUACUCGAGCGGUCCCAAGUUCGAAUCUUGGUUCGCGCA
rnacentral:tRNA from 1 species